UCCGGUUUGUCACCGGCAGUCCCAUUAGAGUGCCCAACUAAAUGCUGGCAACUAGAGGCAAGGGUUGCGCUCGUUGCGGGACUUAACCCAACAUCUCACGGCACGAGCUGACGACAGCCAUGCACCACCUGUGCGGGCUCCGAAGAGCGCCGUGUUUCCACGGUUCCACCCCGCAUGUCAAGCCCAGGUAAGGUUCUUCGCGUCGCAUCGAAUUAAGCCACAUGCUCCACCGCUUGUGCAGGCCCCCGUCAAUUUCUUUGAGUUUUAACCUUGCGGCCGUACUCCCCAGGCGGAUGACUUAACGCGUUAGCUGCGCCACCGAAACGCUAAGCGCCCCGACAGCUAGUCAUCAUCGUUUACGGCGUGGACUAC
rnacentral:misc_RNA from 1 species